UGACAGUUGACAAUUUCAUUAAGAGACACGUAAAUAAUUUUCGUGCAAAUUGUGAGCUACAAACAGAUUUUGAAAACGAUGGAUGUAGACAAGCGCCUCGUCUAUAGAUAUUGAUAGUACACCACCAGAAGUGCUUGAAGCAGGCUACUGUUCCUGUUGACGCAGAUGGAGACAAGACUACUUUUAAGCGCCAGGGUGGAAAUAUUCUGCUACCGCCAAAGAAUAUAUUGAUGAAUCAGUUACCAAUAAUUACCAAUAAAAUGCAAAUUGCAGAUAAAAUUUUAAA